rnacentral:rRNA from 1 species
UACGGAGGGUGCGAGCGUUGUCCGGAAUCACUGGGCGUAAAGGGCGCGUAGGCGGCGCGGGUAGUCAUCGGUGAAAGUUCAGGGCUCAACUCUGAAUCGGCCGGUGAUACUCCCGUGCUCGAGCACUGUAGAGGCAGGUGGAAUUCCGGGUGUAGCGGUGGAAUGCGUAGAGAUCCGGAAGAACACCGGUGGCGAAGGCGGCCUGCUGGGCAGUAGCUGACGCUGAUGCGCGACAGCUAGGGGAGCAAACGGG